rnacentral:rRNA from 1 species
GGAAUAUUGGACAAUGGCCGCAAGGCUGAUCCAGCCAUCCCGCGUGCAGGAUGACGGCCCUCAGGGUUGUAAACUGCUUUUAGGUGAGAAGAAACCCCUGGCUGAGGCUGGGGCUGACGGUAUCACCUGAAUAAGCCCCGGCUAACUCCGUGCCAGCAGCCGCGGUAAUACGGAGGGUGCAAGCGUUAUCCGGAAUUACUGGGUUUAAAGGGUGCGUAGGCGGCCAAGUAAGUCUUGGGUGAAAUCUUCCGGCUCAACCGGGAAAUUGCCUAAGAUACUGCUGGGCUUGAAUACGGUUGAGGUGGGCGGAAUGUGGCAUGUAGCGGUGAAAUGCAUAGAUAUGCCAUAGAACACCAAUUGCGAAGGCAGCUCACUGGACCGUGAUUGACGCUGAGGCACGAAAGCGUGGGGAGCGAAC